CCUUCCGCUUCCUCCUGCCUCCCGUCCUACUGAGCUGCUCUUCCGUCAGGGGGGACCUCGCCAGGCUCUCCAAACCCUUGGAGCCCGCAGAAACGCUCCGUGCCCCGAGCUGUCACCAGCGCCGCCUCCCAGGCCCCGGACGCGAUGCAGGCCAUCAAGUGCGUGGUGGUGGGAGAUGGAGCCGUGGGCAAGACCUGCCUUCUUAUCAGCUAUACCACCAACGCCUUCCCUGGAGAGUACAUCCCCACCGUGUUCGACAACUAUUCAGCCAAUGUGAUGGUGGACAGCAAGCCCGUGAACCUGGGGCUGUGGGACACCGCGGGGCAGGAGGACUAUGACCGCCUCCGGCCGCUCUCCUACCCACAGACGGACGUCUUUCUCAUCUGCUUCUCCCUUGUGAGCCCUGCCUCCUACGAGAAUGUCCGUGCUAAGUGGUUCCCUGAGGUGCGGCACCACUGCCCCAGCACGCCCAUCAUCCUGGUGGGCACCAAGCUGGAUCUGCGGGACGACAAGGACACCAUCGAGAGGCUGAAGGAGAAGAAGCUGGCACCUAUUACCUACCCGCAGGGCCUGGCACUGGCCAAGGAGAUCGACUCGGUCAAAUACCUGGAGUGCUCAGCCCUCACCCAGCGAGGCCUGAAAACCGUCUUCGAUGAGGCGAUCCGGGCCGUCCUGUGCCCCCAGCCCACGCGGCCACAGAAGCGCCCCUGCAGCAUCCUUUAGGGUUGCACCCAGCCCUCCCAGCCAGAUGGCUCUGACCUCCAGGGCCCUCCCAUAAAGCCCAAUGGCACCCCGGCUGGCCACGCUGUCCCCUCCCCGCCCGUGGUGUUUCCUAGCAGAGGGCUGCAGAGCUUGGUUGAUGGGCUUCUCUGGGCCGGAGGCCCCCUGGGGCUGGAAGGGUGUGAAUUCGUAGGCUCUGUUCCCAACCCCUGCCGCUCCUGCCCUCCCCCGCCCCUCCCCGGGGCCAGAGGGGAGCCCCCUUUGCAUUAGUGCUGUCCGUGCCCGCUGCCACACAAUGGCAGCGUCUACCCCUUUGCCCCAGUCCCACCGGACGCCUGAAUCCCCUCUGGAAAUUUCGGGCCAGAUUGUUGCCAGUAUGCCUUCAAGGACGGGUCUCUCGCUCCCUCCUGAGGCCGGCUACUACUCCAAUAUUGGUGGGCUUGCUUGUCUGAAAGUUCUCCUUCUCCUGAGCCAAAGUGAGUGUCUCAGAAGUUUGCUCCUCUGGUCUGAGCGCUCUUCUUUGGGACAACAUGAAAUAAACCAACUUCUCUGAAUGUCGGCGGGUACCUGCAACCGCCCGUCAAAACCCUGGGUCCCGCGGACUCCUGCCACCCCUCGAGGCUUUCUCCACCGCUCACAGGACCCUGAGCUACAUUUGCCCGUAGGAGUCUUAAAACUUUCAGACGCUGCCAGCCAGGACUUUUGCUAUUGCAAAUGGAAAACCUAAUUCAACCUGCUUAAGCAGAAAAUAAAUUUAUUGAUUCAAAUUUGGAAAGAUCGUGUCUUCAGGUGCAGCUUGAUCAAGGAGGGGGGGGGCUCAAAUUAUGUCAUCAGGGCUUGCUUUCCUGUACCUCUUUGCUCUGCCUUCUGCUGUCUGGUUCAUUUUCUGGCAGGUGUCUCUCAAGAGCAUUCUUCCGGGUUCAAGUUCGGCAAAAAAAAAAACAAAAAACAAAAAACAAAAAACACCAACAACAAGUAUCUGCCCCAGGCCAAGUUCUAAUUAAGGUUUACUCUGAUUGGACCAACUUACUUGCGGGUCAUAUUCAACCAAUCUUAUUUGGUGGGGGGAGGGUGCUGAGCUCUGAUUGGCCAGGCCUGGACCACACCCCAUGCUGGAGCGAGGGGUGGUUCCAAGCCGAUUAGAACCUUAUCUACUUAAGGUGGAGGGGUUAUCUCCCCAAGGAGGACUGAGACCUUGUUGGAGUUCGGGAUUAUGGGUGUCGAGCAGCCAGAACUCCCCAACCACCCUUAUUGCGGGUCACCGAAAGGGUCCCCACGGGGUGCGGGGUCCACUGCUGCACAGAAGCUCCUGCCCUCGGGGGCUGACACUCUGGAGAAGCUACAAGGAAGCUACAAGGCAGGAAUAAAAAAAGAGAGGUCUAAGACCCCGUCCCCCACGGCACAGAAGUCCCCCCCGGUUGCCAGCCCGCGAAAUGCUUUGGGUUUCUGUUCUCUGCGAUUCUCUGCUCACCGCCCCCGCCCCCCCCCCCCAGCUGCCCCCAUAAGUCCUGAUGUUGGGAGAGGCAGGGCCCUCCACCUCACCGGCCUCCCAGGAACCCCCACCCCCUUGAAAGGAACUGGGUUUAGCGGGGGGAAACCCCAUGGCGCCUCUCAGCCUCCGCUCAGACAAGGCCUUUCUGUUUUUAAGGUGACUUCACCACGGAAACAAGCCGCCUCCCCCAAAACCCCACGCCUGCUCUCGCUAGCAUGUGGCGAACACAGACCCAUCACCCCCCAUAAUGGGACACGCUGGUUGUUUAGAAGCCCUGGGGCGCCCCCUCCAGUCGUCCAGAGUCUGAAGCGAACCUCAUUUGCUCCCUGCUUUUCCGGGGCCUCCAGAUAAAUCUGGGACCCCUUCCCUUGACUCCCGAGGCCUGGCCACACCCCGCCUCCAGCCUCAGACCGAACUCUCAUUUCCUCAAAGACCUCUCUUUCGUCUUAGCCUUUGGCACACCCUGGUGUGGCCCUCUUUCCUCGAAGAAUUUCCUCUGCGCCUCUAACUUCCCUAGAUGCCAAGGGCGCGCGGGCGGGGGUGUCUCUGCCACGUGCCUCUUCCCCCGAGCCUGCCCCAGUGGGCACAGCCCUUGCUUUAUGCCAACAGCAACGCCAGGAAAUAAAUUCUCUCACCACCGUGCGUUCUCACCUA